rnacentral:lncRNA from 13 species
AUGGACAUUUUUAGCAUAUUAAAAGGGCUUGAACUGCUUUACCAGAAUAAUUUCACAUUUGGAAAUCAAUGCCUCUUUUUUUGGUCUCUCAUCACAGGCACAGGCUGUGUUGUAACUACUUGUAAAUACAGCAUGAAGCUUACGAUACAGUGUGGAUUUGUAUCACAAGUCCUAAGCGUCUGGGACCACAGGUCUGGUUUUGGAUCAGAUGGCUCCUCGCAGCCCACCUCCUCCCAUCCACAAAACUGUGAAGAGACUUGGCUUCCACUUGUUAAUGGUUUGGUUUUCAGCAGUUUAGCUCUGUCAAGCAGCUGACAGCCAUCAAGUUGUACCUAUGGUCUCUUGGUAUUGAUCAUAAUUUCUAUCUAUUGUCACUUUUAGUUCUUUGUAUCACAACGUUUUGUUUGACACCGAAUAUUUUGGAACAUAACACAUUCUCACUUGUAAACUUCAUGCAUUAGAAACAUCAAAAGGAUAUUCUUCAUUUUUCAGUGGGCCAUCAAAUGAUGACAUUUAGAAUUAAUGUUUUCUUGGAUUUAAGGCAAUGACUAUUAUCUUUUGAGAAGACAUUUUAUUAGGAAAUUGUGUUUAAUUAAAUUUCUACUUAAUUAAAUUGCAUUUUUCAUCUAUUCCUCUUCUCCCACCCCCAGCCAGCAACUAACUAUAUUAAGCAAAAAAGUAAAAGACCUGUGGAUUGAGGUUAGUAAACUGCUAAAGCAUCUUCUUUGCUAGUUUUCCUUCUGCCAUUACAAUCUGAAAGCAUGAAAUACAGCAUUGCACUAAUUUAACAUUGUUAAUUUACAAGAUGAAAAUAACUUGGCUAUAACAUGAAAAUUUAUUUGAAAUUUUGAUAAAUGCAGAUCUUGAAAGUUCAGUGUUUGUUUAUUUUUCCAUUUGUGAUUUAAAUACAAAUAUGUUCUGAAUAUCUUGUUUUGCUUUUAGACAGAUCCUUUCAGCACAGAA